AUGUAUAACAGUAUGUGUAGUAAUACUCAUUUCGAGUUUAAGAAUAACAUAGAUAAUAAUUUUAAACGAUAUGAUGACAACAAAAAUAACGUUAAUGAAAAAUGUACGGAUGAGAUGAGUAAGCAUGUUCAAAUUUGCGAGUCUGUACAAAGUUUUAGUUACAACGAAACAGACAAGUGCGAAAUAGCUAGUUACAAAAGAGGAAAUAUUAUGAAUAGUGAUAUUAACAACUUUAAUAAUAAUAUUACAUCAGGUGUAUUAUGUAAAAAUGUUAAGCCACAUAAUUUAACAUAUGAUUAUUGUAUUUUAGAUGUAGGAGGAGGAAAAGGUGAUUUAGGUAUAUAUAUUGCUUUAACUUUUAAAAAUGUUUUAGUUAUAAUAUUAGAUAUUAAUGUAAAUUCUCUUUUUAGUUGUUUUAUAAAAAUGUAUACAAACAAAAUGUUUAAUAUUUUAAUAAUGCAUGAAUCUAUAUUAAAUUUCGAUUUUAAAAAAUAUAAAAUUGAUUUGAUUGUUGGUUUACAUUGUUGUGGUGGAUUAACUGAUUAUACGAUUAGAAAAUGUAUUAUUGAAAAAAUUCCUUUUUUAAUUUGUUCUUGUUGUUAUACAAAAUUUAAAGAAUAUAGAAAAUAUAUAUUUGAUUUUAAGGAUGAUAUAAUAUUAAAUGAAAUAAACAACUACAUUUUUGAUAAAAAAUAUUGUUCAUAUAUGAAUUCUAUCUGUGAUGAUACUUUGAAUGGUAAUGAAAAUUUAGUACCACUUAGUAACAAUAAUGACAAUGGCAGUGGCAGUAGCAGUAGUAGUAGUAGUAGUAGUACAUGUGACAGUAGUAACAGUAAGAUGGAAUGUUCAAAUAAUGAAUGUGUUUUUUUUAAUAAUAUAAAUAAUUCAAGUACUAAACAUGAGACGAAUAAUAAUAGUAAUAAUAAUAACUGUCACAUUAAUUCCAAAAAAAUAGAACUUGACAAUUUAAAAGAUAAAUUAUGUAACAAAAAAAAGGUAUACUUAUAA
rnacentral:lncRNA from 1 species